AGAGGAGGAACUUCCUAUUUUGGCAGCAUAAAUGCAGCUACCCGAGCAGUGGACAGGACCACUGUCAGUGUCUGGACUGAAAGACCACCACAAGCCAGUGAAGAGAACAGUGUAGUGUCCAACGAGCCUGAUGUAGAGUACACUGAAGUGGUGCAUCCACGCUCAGCAGAUCCAGCAAGAGCUCCACUGAAGAAAGGCACUGACACAGUUUACAGUGAGUUACAAAAAUCUCCACAUGGUGAGGCAGACCCACACCCCUAUGGCUCAGUAGAGUAUGCAGAUCUGAAUGGAGAGCAGCCUGACAUGAAUAAUUAUCCUCUGAACCACUACCACCAUGAGCUACCUGUACCUGUGGACUGACUAUACACUGCCUCCUUGUGUCCUGUCUCUGAACUGCACUGAAGCCCUCUGCACUGAAGUCCUAUACACUGAAGUCCUCUGCACUGAAGUCCUCUACACUGAAGCCCUCUGCACUGCCUCGUCUGUGACUGCCACUGCCCAAGC
ensembl:lncRNA